rnacentral:rRNA from 1 species
CCUACGGGUGGCUGCAGUGGGGAAUUUUGGACAAUGGGGGCAACCCUGAUCCAGCCAUUCCGCGUGAGUGAAGAAGGCCUUCGGGUUGUAAAGCUCUUUCGGCAGGAACGAAACGGCGGGCUCUAACAUAGCCUGUCAAUGACGGUACCUGAAGAAGAAGCACCGGCUAACUACGUGCCAGCAGCCGCGGUAAUACGUAGGGUGCGAGCGUUAAUCGGAAUUACUGGGCGUAAAGCGUGCGCAGGCGGCUUUGUAAGACAGGUGUGAAAUCCCCG